rnacentral:tRNA from 10 species
GCCGAAGUGGUGGAACUGGUAGACACGCACGUUUGAGGGGCGUGUGGGGCAACCCAUCCGGGUUCGAGUCCCGGCUUCGGCACCA